rnacentral:rRNA from 1 species
UGGGGAAUUUUGGACAAUGGGCGAAAGCCUGAUCCCAGCAAUGCCGCGUGUGUGAAGAAGGCCUUCGGGUUGUAAAGCACUUUUGUCCGGAAAGAAAUCCUUGGCUCUAAUACAGUCGGGGGAGUGACGGUACCGGAAGAAUAAGCACCGGCUAACUACGUGCCAGCAGCCGCGGUAAUACGUAGGGUGCAAGCGUUAAUCGGAAUUACUGGGCGUAAAGCGUGCGCAGGCGGUUUGCUAAGACCGAUGUGAAAUCCCCGGGCUCAACCUGGGACUGCAUGGUGACUGGCAGGCUAGAGUAUGGCAGAGGGGGGUGAGAAUUCCACGUGUAGCAGUGAAAUGCGUAGAGAUGUGGAGGAAUACCGAUGGCGAAGGCAGCCCCUGGCAAGUACUGACGCUCAUGCACGAAAGCGU